ACUCAAAUGAAUUGACGGGGACCCGCACAAGCGGUGGAGCGUGUGGUUUAAUUCGAGGCUACGCGCAGAACCUUACCAAGACUUGACAUCCCAGUUGUAUUUCUUGGAAACAAGAGAGUCAGUUCGGCUGGACUGGUGACAGGUGAUGCAUGGCCGUCGUCAGCUCGUGUCGUGAGAUGUAGGGUUAAGUCCCUUAACGAGCGCAACCCUCGUUGCAAGUUAGAUUUUUCUUGCAAGACUGCCUCGGCAACGGGGAGGAAGGAGAGGACGACGUCUGGUCCGCAUUUCCCUUACGUCUUGGGCGACACACACGCUACAAUGGCCGAUACAAUGGGUUGCCAAAGCGCAAGCUGGAGCUAAUCCUAAAAAGUCGGUCUCAGUUCGGAUCGAGGGCUGAAACUCGCCCUCGUGAAGUCGGAAUCGCUAGUAACCGCAGGUCAGCCAUACUGCGGUGAAUACGUUCCCGGGUCUUGCACACACCGCCCGU
rnacentral:rRNA from 1 species